rnacentral:rRNA from 1 species
UACAGGGGGGGCAAGCGUUGUUCGGAAUUACUGGGCGUAAAGGGCUCGUAGGCGGCCAACUAAGUCAGACGUGAAAUCCCUCGGCUUAACCGGGGAACUGCGUCUGAUACUGGAUGGCUUGAGAUUGGGAGAGGGAUGCGGAAUUCCAGGUGUAGCGGUGAAAUGCGCAGAUAUCAGGAGGAACACCGAUGGCGAAGGCAGGUCUCUGGGCCGAUACUGACGCUGAGGAGCGAAAGCGUGGGGAGCGAACAGG